rnacentral:rRNA from 1 species
GUGGGGAAUCUUAGACAAUGGGCGCAAGCCUGUUCUAGCCAUGCCGCGUGAGCGAUGAAGGCCUUAGGGUUGUAAAGCUCUUUCAGGGGGGAAGAUAAUGACGGUACCCCCAGAAGAAGCCCCGGCUAACUCCGUGCCAGCAGCCGCGGUAAUACGGAGGGGGCUAGCGUUGUUCGGAAUUACUGGGCGUAAAGCGCACGUAGGCGGACCAGAAAGUCAGGGGUGAAAUCCCGGGGCUCAACCCCGGAACUGCCUUUGAAACUCCUGGUCUUGAGGUCGAGAGAGGUGAGUGGAAUUCCGAGUGUAGAGGUGAAAUUCGUAGAUAUUCGGAGGAACACCAGUGGCGAAGGCGGCUCACUGGCUCGAUACUGACGCUGAGGUGCGAAAGCGUGGGGAGCAAACAGGAUUAGAUACCCGAGUAGUCC